rnacentral:rRNA from 1 species
CCAAUAGCGUAUAUUAAAGUUGUUGCAGUUAAAAAGCUCGUAGUUGAAUUUCGGGAUUGACGUGACGGUCGUGCCUUACGGGGUAUGAACUGUCGCCGUUGAUUUCUCACCUUCUGGAGAAGCUCGAUGUCCUUAAUUGGGUGUCUUGCGGAACCAGGACCUUUACCUUGAAAAAAUUAGAGUGUUUAAAGCAGGCAUUUUGCUCGAAUACAUUAGCAUGGAAUAAUAGAAUAGGACGGCAUGGUUCUAUUUUGUUGGUUUCUAGGAUCACCGUAAUGAUUAAUAGGGAUAGUUGGGGGAAUUAGUAUUCAAUUGUCAGAGGUGAAAUUCUUGGAUUUAUUGAAGACUAACUACUGCGAAAGCAUUUGCCAAGGAUGUUUUCAUUAAUCAAGAACGAAAGUUAGGGGAUCGAAGACGAUCAGAUACCGUCGUAGUCUUAACCAUAAACUAUGCCGACUAGGAAUCAGACGAUGUUAAUUUUUUAAUGACUCGUUUGGCACCUUACG